rnacentral:rRNA from 1 species
AUGCUUGAAUCCUCAUUGCCGUUCAGAGCAGCGUUCGAAGCCUUGAAAGAAGCUGACAAAGAUUAUAAAUUUGCUCCUUCGGCUAGUGAAUGGGAGAUGGCCGAAGCUAUUUGCCAUCUUUUGGGCGCUUUUUACACAGCCACAAAGAAAAUCUCGGGUAGGACAUAUCCCACCUCUCACCUAUACUUCUAUGAGGUCUGGAAUGUGAAGCAAAUAAUGGAGAGAGAAGUCGUAAGUGAAGAUCCUGCCAUUGUUGCCAUGGUGAAAGAGAUGGACAAGAAAUGGAUCAAAUAUUUUGAGGAGUCAUUCUUAACAAGUUGUCUGCCGGUGAUAUUUGAUCCAAGGUACAAAUAUGAAUAUGUUGGCUUCCGACUGACCGCAACUUUUGGUGGUGGCGCAGAGAAAUAUCUUACCCAAGUGAAUAGUGUGAUGAAGAUCCUAUUUGCUGAAUAUGCAUCUGAAUUUGGAAACACUUCUGAUGAAGGUGAUGAGGUUGUAGAGGAGGAUGGUGAGGGCACUCUUGAUGACUGGGAUAAGCAUUUGAGAUUGAAAAGAUCCCACAACUCAAAUGAGCUACAGCGAUAUCUUGAAGAUUUGUUUCCUCGCCGACAGAAAUUGGAUAUCUUAAAGUGGUGGGAGAUUCACUCCCCAAAGUAUCUGGUGCUUGCAGCUAUAGCACGGGACAUAUUGGCAGUGUCCGCGUCUACAGUGCCUGCAAAGGCUGCAUUCAGCAAUGCAGGAAGGAUCAUCACUGAACAAAGAAGUAGUUUGAUCCCGAGUACUGUUGAGACGCUGAUGUGCCUCAAGGAUUGGUUUCGAGCAGCUGAUCGCCAAAAGGCGGAACCAACAGUUGGAGACCAUGGUGGUGAUCAAGAGGAUGAUCCUCUGGAACCACCUAAGGUGGGACUCCCAGAGUCCCACCUGCAGCGUGAAAGACGCAAAUCUCAAUGGAUCUGGUCGGUUCAGAUUCCUGGUGCAGGAAAGCUCGGCAGCCAAAUUGAGUUUCCGCCACCAAAACCACUUUCUAUACCACCAGCAAGCAUGGUGGAUCCGAAGUUACCACACACUGAAGAGUAUGACAAGAUUAUACAAAAUAAGCGCAAGCACGCCUGCAUACUGAUCCUGUGA